AGUGAACGCUGGCGGUAGGCCUAACACAUGCAAGUCGAACGGCAGCACAGUAAGAGCUUGCUCUUACGGGUGGCGAGUGGCGGACGGGUGCGGAAUACCUCGGAAUCUACUUUUUCGUGGGGGAUAACGUAGGGACACUUACGCUAAUACCGCAUACGACCUACGGGUGAAAGCAGGGGAUCUUCGGCCCUCGCGCGAUUGAAUGAGCCGAUGUCGGAUUAGCUAGUUGGCGGGGUAAAGGCCCACCAAGGCGACGAUCCGUAGCUGGUCUGAGAGGAUGAUCAGCCACACUGGAACUGAGACACGGUCCAGACUCCUACGGGAGGCAGCAGUGGGGAAUAUUGGACAAUGGGCGCAAGCCUGAUCCAGCCAUACCGCGUGGGUGAAGAAGGCCUUCGGGUUGUAAAGCCCUUUUGGUGGGAAAGAAAAGCAGCAGGUUAAUACCCCGCUGUUCUGACGGUACCCAAAGAAUAAGCACCGGCUAACUUCGUG
rnacentral:rRNA from 1 species